rnacentral:rRNA from 1 species
UACGUAGGGGGCAAGCGUUAUCCGGAUUUACUGGGUGUAAAGGGAGCGUAGACGGUGAUGUAAGUCAGAUGUGAAAACCCAGGGCUCAACCCUGGGACUGCAUUUGAAACUAUGUUACUAGAGUGCAGGAGAGGUAAGUGGAAUUCCUAGUGUAGCGGUGAAAUGCGUAGAUAUUAGGAGGAACACCAGUGGCGAAGGCGGCUUACUGGACUGUAACUGACGUUGAGGCUCGAAAGCGUGGGGAGCAAAC